rnacentral:lncRNA from 1 species
CCCACCCCUGCCUCCCAAAGUGCUGGGAUUACAGGUGUGAGCCACCGUGCCCAGCCAAAGCAUCUCAAUCUUUUUUUUUUUUUUUUUUUUUUUUUUUGAGACAUGGUUUAGCUCUGCAGCCCAGGUUAGAGUGUAGUGGAGUGAUCUAGGCUCUCUGCAAUCUUUACCUCCCUGGCUCAAGCUAUUCUCCCACCUCAGCCUCCUGAGUAGCUGGGACUAUAGACACACACCACCAGGCUUGGCUAAUUUUUUUUUGUACUUUUUGUAGAGACAGGGUUUCACUAUGUUGCCCAGGCUGGUCUUGAGCUCAUGAGCUUAAGCAAUCCUCCUGCCUCGGCCUCCCAAAUUGCUGGGAUUACAGGCGUGACCCACUGCGCCUGGCUGGUAUCUCGAAGUUAACAUGUCCAAAACAAAGGUCUUGACUCAUAUUCCUUCCACUCUGCCCCAGUCUGCUCCUCCCUCAGUCUUCAGCCUCAAUAAUGGCACUACCGCCUACUCAAAAGUUCAAGCCAGCAACUUUGAGUUCAUUCUAGAAAGCUUGCACCCUCACUCCGCCUCCACUCCAUCAUGAAAUUCCAUUCAAAAUAUAUCCAGAAACCAUUGCUGCUCACCAUCAUUGCUGCAACCGCCCUGCCUGAGCCCCCAUUGUCACUUGAAUGGAUUAUUGCAAUGGCUUCUCCACUGACCCCUGCUUCUCCAUUUACCCACUACAAUCUUUCUCUAUGAAAAGCCACGGUGAGUCUUAAAAUGUAAAUCAGAUCAUGUGCCUUAGUUGCUCAAAAACUCCAGUGGUUUCUCAACACACCUAGAAUUAAAAUCCAAAGCCUCAGCUGGGCGCGGUGGCUCACACCUGUAAUCCCAGUGCUUUGGGAGGCCGAGGCGG